ACCCCUCCGGGUGUAGUGCGCACGCAUUCGCCACCGUUAUCCCAUCUUCCGUUCUCAAAAUGGUCAGGAGAAAAGGAUCGGAACACAACGGUGCCAGUGAAUCCAGGAAAAGGGCGCGCUGAAACCACCAUUGACCUGAAAAUCAUGAAACAAUCCUUAUGAAAAAUGGCACCAAAAGCUGCAAACAAGGCAUCCUUCAUAGGAUCACAAUCAAUCAACUUGAUAUGGAAGCAAAUUAAUACAAAGAAGAGAUUGAAACUGGUUGCGAGAAAUUGAAUCUCCUGCGAAAACAACAGAGCGACCACGCAUGGUGCUUAAGAAAGCUCGGGCGUCAAUUCUAGGU